GGGGGAUAUUGGGCAAUGGGCGCAAGCCUGACCCAGCAACGCCGCGUGAAGGAAGAAGGCUUUCGGGUUGUAAACUUCUUUUAAGAGGGAAGAGAAGAAGACGGUACCUCUUGAAUAAGCCACGGCUAACUAC
rnacentral:rRNA from 1 species